rnacentral:rRNA from 1 species
AGCGAACGCUGGCGGCAGGCCUAACACAUGCAAGUCGAACGAAGCCUUCGGGCUUAGUGGCGGACGGGUGAGUAACACGUGGGAACGUACCGUUUGGUUCGGAACAACUCAGGGAAACUUGAGCUAAUACCGGAUGAGCCCUUAGGGGGAAAGAUUUAUCGUCGAAAGAACGGCCCGCGUGAGAUUAGCUAGUUGGUGAGGUAAAGGCUCACCAAGGCUACGAUCUAUAGCUGGUCUGAGAGGAUGAUCAGCCACACUGGGACUGAGACACGGCCCAGACUCCUACGGGAGGCAGCAGUGGGGAAUCUUGCGCAAUGGGCGAAAGCCUGACGCAGCCAUGCCGCGUGAAUGAUGAAGGUCUUAGGAUUGUAAAAUUCUUUUACCAGGGACGAUAAUGACGGUACCUGGAGAAAAAGCCCCGGCUAACUUCGUGCCAGCAGCCGCGGUAACAC